rnacentral:rRNA from 1 species
UACGUAGGUGGCGAGCGUUGUCCGGAUUUACUGGGCGUAAAGCGCGCGCAGGCGGUUCGUUAAGUCCGGUGUGAAAGCUCCCGGCUCAACUGGGGAGGGUCAUUCGAUACUGAUCGACUCGAAGGCAGGAGAGGGUAGUGGAAUUCCCGGUGUAGUGGUGAAAUGCGUAGAUAUCGGGAGGAACACCAGUGGCGAAGGCGACUUCCUGGCCUGUUCUUGACGCUGAGGCGCGAAAGCUAGGGUAGCAAACGGG